GCGGCAGGCCUAACACAUGCAAGUCGAGCGGUAACAGAGAGUAGCUUGCUACUUUGCUGACGAGCGGCGGACGGGUGAGUAAUGCUUGGGAAUAUGCCUUUUGGUGGGGGACAACAGUUGGAAACGACUGCUAAUACCGCAUGAUGUCUACGGACCAAAGUGGGGGACCUUCGGGCCUCACGCCAAAAGAUUAGCCCAAGUGGGAUUAGCUAGUUGGUAAGGUAAUGGCUUACCAAGGCAACGAUCCCUAGCUGGUUUGAGAGGAUGAUCAGCCACACUGGGACUGAGACACGGCCCAGACUCCUACGGGAGGCAGCAGUGGGGAAUAUUGCACAAUGGGCGCAAGCCUGAUGCAGCCAUGCCGCGUGUGUGAAGAAGGCCUUCGGGUUGUAAAGCACUUUCAGUAAGGAGGAAAGGUUAAGUUUUAAUAGAGCUUAGCUGUGACGUUACUUACAGAAGAAGCACCGGCUAACUCCGUGCCAGCAGCCGCGGUAAUACGGAGGGUGCGAGCGUUAAUCGGAAUUACUGGGCGUAAAGCGUACGCAGGCGGUUUGUUAAGCGAGAUGUGAAAGCCCCGGGCUCAACCUGGGAACUGCAUUUCGAACUGGCAAACUAGAGUGUGAUAGAGGGUGGUAGAAUUUCAGGUGUAGCGGUGAAAUGCGUAGAGAUCUGAAGGAAUACCGAUGGCGAAGGCAGCCACCUGGGUCAACACUGA
rnacentral:rRNA from 1 species